rnacentral:rRNA from 1 species
UGAGGAAUAUUGGUCAAUGGUCGGAAGACUGAACCAGCCAUGCCGCGUGCAGGAAGAAUGCCUUAUGGGUUGUAAACUGCUUUUAUAUGGGAAGAAUAAGGUGUACGUGUACAUUGAUGACGGUACCAUAUGAAUAAGCAUCGGCUAACUCCGUGCCAGCAGCCGCGGUAAUACGGAGGAUGCGAGCGUUAUUCGGAAUCAUUGGGUUUAAAGGGUCUGUAGGCGGGCUAUUAAGUCAGGGGUGAAAGGUUUCAGCUUAACUGAGAAAUUGCCUUUGAUACUGGUAGUCUUGAAUAUCUGUGAAGUUCUUGGAAUGUGUAGUGUAGCGGUGAAAUGCUUAGAUAUUACACAGAACACCGAUUGCGGAGGCAGGGGACUAACAGACGAUUGACGCUGAGAGACGAAAGCGUGGGGAGCGAACAGGAUUAGAUACCCUGGUAGUCCACGCUGUAAACGAUGGAUACUAGCUGUUUGGAGAAAUUUGAGUGGCUAAGCGAAAGUGAUAAGUAUCCCACCUGGGGAGUACGCACGCAAGUGUG